GAUGAAGAACGUAGUGAAAUGCGAUAAGUAAUGUGAAUUGCAGAAUUCAGUGAAUCAUCGAAUCUUUGAACGCACAUUGCGCCCUUUGGUAUUCCGAAGGGCAUGCCUGUUCGAGCGUCAUUUCACCACUCAAGCCUGGCUUGGUAUUGGGCGCCGCGGUCGAUCCGCGCGCCUCAAAGUCUCCGGCUGAGCUGUCCGUCUCUAAGCGUUGUGAUUUCAUUAAUCGCUUCGGAGUGCGGGCGGCCGCGGCCGUUAAAUCUUUCACAAGGUUGACCUCGGAUCAGGUAGGGAUACCCGCUGAACUUAAGCAUAUCAUAAGCGGAGGA
rnacentral:misc_RNA from 1 species